rnacentral:rRNA from 1 species
UACGAAGGGGGGCGAGCGUUGUUCGGAAUUACUGGGCGUAAAGGGCGCGUAGGCGGUCCUUCAAGUCAGGCGUGAAAGCCCCGGGCUCAACCUGGGAACCGCGCUUGAGACUGGCGGACUCGAGUUCGGGAGAGGAUGGUGGAAUUCCCAGUGUAGAGGUGAAAUUCGUAGAUAUUGGGAAGAACACCGAUGGCGAAGGCAGCCAUCUGGACCAACACUGACGCUGAGGCGCGAAAGCGUGGGGGAGCAAACAGG